AGUGAACGCUGGCGGUAGGCCUAACACAUGCAAGUCGAACGGCAGCACAGUAAGAGCUUGCUCUUACGGGUGGCGAGUGGCGGACGGGUGAGGAAUACAUCGGAAUCUACUUUUUCGUGGGGGAUAACGUAGGGAAACUUACGCUAAUACCGCAUACGACCUACGGGUGAAAGCAGGGGAUCUUCGGACCUUGCGCGAUUGAAUGAACCGAUGUCGGAUUAGCUAGUUGGCGGGGUAAAGGCCCACCAAGGCGACGAUCCGUAGCUGGUCUGAGAGGAUGAUCAGCCACACUGGAACUGAGACACGGUCCAGACUCCUACGGGAGGCAGCAGUGGGGAAUAUUGGACAAUGGGCGCAAGCCUGAUCCAGCCAUACCGCGUGGGUGAAGAAGGCCUUCGGGUUGUAAAGCCCUUUUGUUGGGAAAGAAAAGCAGCAGGUUAAUACCCCGCUGUUCUGACGGUACCCAAAGGAUAAGCACCGGCUAACUUCGUG
rnacentral:rRNA from 1 species